GGGUGCGACCAUACCAGCACUAACGCACCGGAUCCCAUCAGAACUCCGAUGUUAAGCGUGCUUGGGGGAGAGUAGUACUCGGAUGGGUGAACCCCUGGGAAGUCCUCGUGUUGCACCCC
rnacentral:rRNA from 1 species